UUAAGCGACUAAGCGUACACGGUGGAUGCCCUGGCAGUCAGAGGCGAUGAAGGACGUGCUAAUCUGCGAAAAGCGUCGGUAAGGUGAUAUGAACCGUUAUAGCCGGCGAUGUCCGAAUGGGGAAACCCAGUGCAAUUCGUUGCACUAUCGUUUGAUGAAUACAUAGUCAAACGAGGCGAACCGGGGGAACUGAAACAUCUAAGUACCCCGAGGAAAAGAAAUCAACCGAGAUUCCCCCAGUAGCGGCGAGCGAACGGGGAGCAGCCCGGAGUCUGAAUCAGCUUGUGUGUUAGUGGAAGCGUCUGGAAAGUCGCAGGGUACAGGGUGAUACUCCCGUACACUAAAGCACACAGGUUGUGAACUCGAAGAGUAGGGCGGGACACGUGGUAUCCUGUCUGAAUAUGGGGGGACCAUCCUCCAAGGCUAAAUACUCCUGACUGACCGAUAGUGAACCAGUACCGUGAGGGAAAGGCGAAAAGAACCCCGGCGAGGGGAGUGAAAAAGAACCUGAAACCGUGUACGUACAAGCAGUAGGAGCCCACUAGUUGGGUGACUGCGUACCUUUUGUAUAAUGGGUCAGCGACUUAUAUUCUGUAGCAAGGUUAACCGUAUAGGGGAGCCGCAGGGAAACCGAGUCUUAACUGGGCGUUAAGUUGCAGGGUAUAGACCCGAAACCCGGUGAUCUAGCCAUGGGCAGGUUGAAGGUUGGGUAACACUAACUGGAGGACCGAACCGACUAAUGUUGAAAAAUUAGCGGAUGACUUGUGGCUGGGGGUGAAAGGCCAAUCAAACCGGGAGAUAGCUGGUUCUCCCCGAAAGCUAUUUAGGUAGCGCCUCGUGAACUCAUCUUCGGGGGUAGAGCACUGUUUCGGCUAGGGGGUCAUCCCGACUUACCAACCCGAUGCAAACUACGAAUACCGAAGAAUGUUAUCACGGGAGACACACGGCGGGUGCUAACGUCCGUCGUGAAGAGGGAAACAACCCAGACCGCCAGCUAAGGUCCCAAAGUCAUGGUUAAGUGGGAAACGAUGUGGGAAGGCCCAGACAGCCAGGAUGUUGGCUUAGAAGCAGCCAUCAUUUAAAGAAAGCGUAAUAGCUCACUGGUCGAGUCGGCCUGCGCGGAAGAUGUAACGGGGCUAAACCAUGCACCGAAGCUGCGGCAGCGACACUAUGUGUUGUUGGGUAGGGGAGCGUUCUGUAAGCCGUUGAAGGUGGCCUGUGAGGGUUGCUGGAGGUAUCAGAAGUGCGAAUGCUGACAUAAGUAACGAUAAUGCGGGUGAAAAACCCGCACGCCGGAAGACCAAGGGUUCCUGUCCAACGUUAAUCGGGGCAGGGUGAGUCGACCCCUAAGGCGAGGCCGAAAGGCGUAGUCGAUGGGAAACAGGUUAAUAUUCCUGUACUCGGUGUUACUGCGAAGGGGGGACGGAGAAGGCUAUGUUGGCCGGGCGACGGUUGUCCCGGUUUAAGCAUGUAGGCGGAUGUUCCAGGUAAAUCCGGAACGUCACUAACGCUGAGGUGUGAUGACGAGGCACUACGGUGCUGAAGUGACAAAUGCCCUGCUUCCAGGAAAAGCCUCUAAGCAUCAGGUAACAUCAAAUCGUACCCCAAACCGACACAGGUGGUCAGGUAGAGAAUACCAAGGCGCUUGAGAGAACUCGGGUGAAGGAACUAGGCAAAAUGGUGCCGUAACUUCGGGAGAAGGCACGCUGAUGGUAGGUGAAGCGACUUGCUCGUGGAGCUGAAAUCAGUCGAAGAUACCAGCUGGCUGCAACUGUUUAUUAAAAACACAGCACUGUGCAAACACGAAAGUGGACGUAUACGGUGUGACGCCUGCCCGGUGCCGGAAGGUUAAUUGAUGGGGUUAUCCGUAAGGAGAAGCUCUUGAUCGAAGCCCCGGUAAACGGCGGCCGUAACUAUAACGGUCCUAAGGUAGCGAAAUUCCUUGUCGGGUAAGUUCCGACCUGCACGAAUGGCGUAAUGAUGGCCAGGCUGUCUCCACCCGAGACUCAGUGAAAUUGAACUCGCUGUGAAGAUGCAGUGUACCCGCGGCAAGACGGAAAGACCCCGUGAACCUUUACUAUAGCUUGACACUGAACACUGGUCCUUGAUGUGUAGGAUAGGUGGGAGGCUUUGAAGUGUGGACGCCAGUCUGCAUGGAGCCAUCCUUGAAAUACCACCCUUUAAUGGCUGGUGUUCUAACGUGGGCCCGUAAUCCGGGUUGCGGACAGUGUCUGGUGGGUAGUUUGACUGGGGCGGUCUCCUCCUAAAGAGUAACGGAGGAGCACGAAGGUCAGCUAAUCCUGGUCGGACAUCAGGAGGUUAGUGCAAUGGCAUAAGCUGGCUUGACUGCGAGCGUGACGGCGCGAGCAGGUGCGAAAGCAGGUCAUAGUGAUCCGGUGGUUCUGAAUGGAAGGGCCAUCGCUCAACGGAUAAAAGGUACUCCGGGGAUAACAGGCUGAUACCGCCCAAGAGUUCAUAUCGACGGCGGUGUUUGGCACCUCGAUGUCGGCUCAUCACAUCCUGGGGCUGAAGUAGGUCCCAAGGGUAUGGCUGUUCGCCAUUUAAAGUGGUACGCGAGCUGGGUUUAGAACGUCGUGAGACAGUUCGGUCCCUAUCUGCCGUGGGCGCUGGAGAAUUGAGGGGGGCUGCUCCUAGUACGAGAGGACCGGAGUGGACGCAUCACUGGUGUUCGGGUUGUCAUGCCAAUGGCAUUGCCCGGUAGCUAAAUGCGGAAGAGAUAAGUGCUGAAAGCAUCUAAGCACGAAACUUGCCCCGAGAUGAGUUCUCCCUGACUCCUUGAGAGUCCUGAAGGAACGUUGAAGACGACGACGUUGAUAGGCCGGGUGUGUAAGCGCAGCGAUGCGUUGAGCUAACCGGUACUAAUGAACCGUGAGGCUUAACCUU
rnacentral:rRNA from 1 species